UGUUAUUUCAACUUUGCCCUUCCUUCCUAUAUCUCGACCCAGCUUUUCUCUAGAUGCUUCCCCCACCGUUUCAGACUCUAAACCCACCUUUUCGACUCCUGCUCUCACCGCCUCCCUCCUCGCCUCACUCUUCUCUGCACCAAGCCGCUCGAUUUAGGAUGGGCUUCACCAUUUCUCUUCAAUCGAGGUCUCUAUUUCUGGAUCUUUCUUUUGCUUUCGCCUAUUCUCUCUCGCAUAUCUCCAUUUGCUUUGUUUCUGGUCGUCCUUUUUUCUCCGUUUUCGCUUCUGUUUUCUUCAUCGUGUUGCUUCGUUGUUCAAAACGCGGACCAUUUUACUUAGUUGUUCUUCGAUUAGUGGUCACAGUUGUUAAUAUCUCUGCCUUUUUGGUUCGAUUCCAAUAAUUUUUUGGGUUUUUGGUUCGUUGAAUCCGGGUUUUCCAAAAAUUUUGUGCCCAUCUUGGGUUCGCUUCGAACUUGGUUGCGACCGAUCUAAUCCGGCGUUUCCAGAUUCGGGAAACAGUCCCUUUCAGAUUUUUGGAUUUUCGAUUCUGAUUCUUGGAACUCUUUGUGCUAAAGGUACAGAUAAUGGUCUGAACUAUGAAGGAAGCUUGCUUUGUGUUGGAAGUACGAUGAUGUCUUGGGCUCCCAUCGAAAUCUCUGAUAUCACUCCUCAUAGUUUGGUAGAAAGAAAACGCCGGAGCCGCAGCAGAACGGGCAGUCCACUGCUGGAGCUAUGAGUGAUGGGAGUAGUGAUUCCCGUGUGGCAGCAAAUGGGAAUAUGUGAAGAGAAAACUGACUUGGCCAUCUAUGAGCAAUUUCAAUACCAGGAUGGAGGUGGAAGUAUUUGGAAGAAUCAGAUGUGCCUAUUCAUUUGCAAGCCAUUAUUGGGCCUUCUAGGACAUUGUCUUUGGCGAUGUAUGUCGAGUCCAAGAGGGUGCGGGUGUGGACAGAGAGCAAACAGGUUAUGGUGGCCACCGUGGAAAGAGGUUGGAAGAUCUUGGUGUUAGGUUCCAAGAGCCAUGAGCUUGCUGAUGAGUGGUCCCGGCAUGUCUCAGCAACCAUCAAUACAGAAUGCAACACCAAAAGAUUUACAGGGAUAUAAAUGGAGAUUUCGCCAUAUAACUCAAGGUGAAGAUGAGUCUGGGUUGGAACGGCUUCAUCAAUGUGCGGAUAAUGAGCUACAAGUUUGCCUCAAUGAUAAGGAAUUUCAAUGAGUUUCGCACAAAACUUGCUCGAUUGACCAGCAUUGAGAUGUUAGGCAAAGGUGUCUCAUGGGAAUCACAGAUUGCUCAAAACUAUCUCAAAGAAGUGGAGAGAUUUGUUACUAGCUCAGACUAUGCCAACUAUGAAGCUAUAGAAAAAUGGUGUGGAAAUUGGCUAUUUGUUAUUGAUGAGAUAUAAUCCAAUAGCUAAUAAGUAUGCUCCUAUAUUCGACACUUAAAAUAUGUCUGGAACUGAUGUUACCAUUACUACUUUCUUUCUUACAGAAGGAAAGGUUUUUCAUUUUCUACUUAUUAUAGGGGAUCCCUUCAUAUAUAUCAGUUAAUUCCAGACAUAUCAGUUAAUUCUUGCUAAGAUUUGUCCAAACUGAUCCUAUAAUGAUAGUUGUGCAAACUAUCAUUAUAGGGGAUCCCUUCAUAUAUAUUAGUUAAUUCUUGCUAAGAUUUGUCCAAACUGUUUUUGUUAUGUCAAAGUUGAAACCUUUUUUUA